AGCGAACGCUGGCGGCAGGCCUAACACAUGCAAGUCGAGCGCCCCGCAAGGGGAGCGGCAGACGGGAGAGUAACACGUGGGAACAUGCUCUUCAGUUCGGAACAACCCAGGGAAACUUGGGCUAAUACCGGAUACGUCCGUAAGGAGAAAGAUUUAUCGCUGAAGGAUUGGCCCGCGUCCGAUUAGCUAGUUGGUGAGGUAAUGGCUCACCAAGGCGACGAUCGGUAGCUGGUCUGAGAGGAUGAUCAGCCUCACUGGGACUGAGACACGGCCCAGACUCCUACGGGAGGCAGCAGUGGGGAAUAUUGGACAAUGGGCGCAAGCCUGAUCCAGCCAUGCCGCGUGGGUGAUGAAGGCCCUAGGGUUGUAAAGCCCUUUUGGCGGGGAAGAUAAUGACGGUACCCGCAGAAGAAGCCCUGGCUAACUUCGUGCCAGCAGCCGCCGUAACAC
rnacentral:rRNA from 1 species